GACGAACGCUGGCGGCGUGCCUAAUACAUGCAAGUAGAACGCAGUUGCGAACGGGUGAGUAACGCGUAGGUAACUGCCUGGUAGCGGGGGAUAACUAUUGGAAACGAUAGCUAAUACCGCAUACUACCAGAUGGACCUGCGUUGUAUUAGCUAGUUGGUGGGGUAACGGCUCACCAAGGCAACGAUACAUAGCCGACCUGAGAGGGGGGUCGGCCACACGGGUACGUGGACCCGGCCCAGACCCCUACGGGAGGCAACAGUAGGGAAUCUUCGGCAAUUGCCGGAAGUCGGACCGAGCAACGCCGCGUGAGUGAAGAAGGUUUUCGGAUCGUAAAGCUCUGUUGUAAGAGAAGCGGUAUCUAACCAGAAAGGGACGGCUAACUACGUGCCAGCGGCCGCGGUAAUAC
rnacentral:rRNA from 1 species